CCUACGGGGCGCCGCAGUGAGGAAUAUUGCUCAAUGGGCGCGAGCCUGAACCAGCCAAGUAGCGUGAAGGAUGACUGCCCUACGGGUUGUACACUUCUUUUAUAAAGGAAUAAAGUGAGGCACGUGUGCCUUUUUGUAUGUACUUUAUGAAUAAGGAUCGGCUAACGCCGUGCCAGCAGCCGCGGUAAUACGGAGGAUCCGAGCGUUAUCCGGAUGUAUUGGGUUUAAAGGGAGCGUAGAUGGGUUGUUAAGUCAGGUGUGAAAGUUUGCGGCUCAACCGUAAAAUUGCAAUUGAUACUGGCAGUCUUGAGUACAGUUGAGGUAGGCGGAAUUCGUGGUGUAGCGGUGAAAUGCUUAGAUAGCACGAAGAACUCCGAUUGCGAAGGCAGCUUACUAAACUGCCACUGACAUUGAGGCUCGAAAGUGUGGGUAUCAAACUGGAUUAGAUACCCGAGUAGUC
rnacentral:rRNA from 1 species